rnacentral:rRNA from 1 species
CCGGUAAACGGCGGCCGUAACUAUAACGGUCCUAAGGUAGCGAAAUUCCUUGUCGGGUAAGUUCCGACCUGCACGAAUGGCGUAAUGAUGGCCAGGCUGUCUCCACCCGAGACUCAGUGAAAUUGAACUCGCUGUGAAGAUGCAGUGUACCCGCGGCAAGACGGAAAGACCCCGUGAACCUUUACUAUAGCUUGACACUGAACAUUGAGCCUUGAUGUGUAGGAUAGGUGGGAGGCUUUGAAGUGUGGACGCCAGUCUGCAUGGAGCCGACCUUGAAAUACCACCCUUUAAUGUUUGAUGUUCUAACGUUGACCCGUAAUCCGGGUUGCGGACAGUGUCUGGUGGGUAGUUUGACUGGGGCGGUCUCCUCCUAAAGAGUAACGGAGGAGCACGAAGGUUGGCUAAUCCUGGUCGGACAUCAGGAGGUUAGUGCAAUGGCAUAAGCCAGCUUGACUGCGAGCGUGACGGCGCGAGCAGGUGCGAAAGCAGGUCAUAGUGAUCCGGUGGUUCUGAAUGGAAGGGCCAUCGCUCAACGGAUAAAAGGUACUCCGGGGAUAACAGGCUGAUACCGCCCAAGAGUUCAUA